rnacentral:other from 1 species
AGAGCCCUGCGGUGUGCGUGCCAAAUUGAAGAGCCUUGAGCCAACACCUACCCGAAGGAGGCAGCUCCUGCCCGGCAGAGAAGGCGCAAAAGCGCCAUCGAAGCUGAGGGCGGGUAAGCCUCAAACCUCUGUGAGGAUCGGGUCAAGGCCUUCCUGGCACGGCACAGCGGGGUUUUU